AAUCCAUGUUGUGGGCACUUUCUCAGGAGCUCCUUGAACCUUUCCCAGGUCUCAAAUAGAGACUCCAAUAAUGACUAUACAAAGGACGAGAUCUUAUUCUUAAGUUU